UUAUCCCGCUGAAAAUUAAGCAUAUAAGUAAGCGCAGGAAAAGAAAUCAAUCGAGAUUCCCCUAGUAGCUGCGAGCGAACAGGGAUUAGCCCGAGACCGAAUCCCAGCGCGAGCCGUCAAAAGCGAGCGUUUGGGACCUGUAGUCUAAGGUGCUGCCCGCAAAGGUGUGCGCGUCGCUAUACCCCGGAUGACCUCUGGGCAGAAUCAACGUUCAAAGCGAACGGUUUUUCCCCCCGGGAAAAUAGCAUAUCAAUAAGCGGAGGAAAAGAAACUAACCAGGAUUCCCCUAGUAACGGCGAGCGAACCGGGACAAGCCCAACUUGAAAAUCUCCUGCCCUCGGCAGGCGAAUUGUAGUCUAUAGAUCCGUUCUCUGCGCCCAGGUCGGUCGAAGUUCCUUGGAAACGGACGUCGUAGAGGGUGAGAGCCCCGUAGACCGACCGGUGGUGCUCCACGAGGCGGAAUCGAAGAGUCGGGUUGUUUGGGAAUGCAGCCCAAAGUCGGUGGUGAAUCCCAUCUAAGGCUAAAUAACGGCGAGAGACCGAUAGCGAACAAGUACCGCGAGGGAAAGAUGAAAAGAACUUUGAAGAGAGAGUGAAAUAGUGCCUGAAAUUGUUGGGGGGGAAGCGGUAGGACGUCGGGGUGCCCCGCGGCUUAGGUCCCCUGGACGGGGGGCUGUAUGCUCGCGGGGCUGGUCAGCACGGGUAUGCCGGUGGGGAGAAAUGCCGGAUUUGAUUCCGGCUCCUACCCGGCGGUGUACCGAGGUAAACGGGUGCCGCGACCCUCGUGGAUCUGCGCCCGCAAGGUGCUGGCAGAAGGCGUUCUACCGGCCCGUUGAAAAAACACGAAAAAAAUAA
rnacentral:rRNA from 1 species